AGGUGCUGGUAUAAGACCGAGCACUAAAAUAACAGAAGGCUAGUCUAUGAUCGAGCACUUCUCGAGGCCGAGCACUCUUCAAGACCGAGCACUCAACAAUGAAUAUCAUAUGUGUAAGAACGAACGCUAUUCUAAGAAAUGACAAUUAAUAUGAGACCGAGUACUCAGUCUAUGACCGAGCACGUCAAGGGUCGAACGCUCAGUAUAAGACCGAAC
rnacentral:lncRNA from 1 species